UGCAGUGUCCCAGGCAGCCACCUGGGGCCCGGUCACAUGGAAGUCAGAUGUGGGCCUGGGCCGCCGUGCAGCGAUGGCUGUGCUGGCCGUCUGCCUUGCCUCUCACCUCCACCCUGCCACAUCGGCCACUCUGCCCUGGGGCUGGGACUGACCCUUCACCCUUGCUCCCAGGCUUCCGACCACUGCCCUCUGAUUGGGUCCAGUCAAGGGAGCCCCUGGCCGCAGCCCAGAGGGAUCGGAGGCCUGGACCCCUCCACAUCUGUCUUGGGUGGCAUUUCUUCACCUCGGCUCCCGCUGGGAGGUGCCUCCUUCUUGAUCCUCCUCUUCUAGGAAGCCUGGCCCGGCUCUGCGUCCCCAGCUCCAGCUUCACCCCGGCAGCCUUAGGACAUGGCAGUGGCUUCCUGCCAUGGGCCACGGGUUCCCGCACCGCCUCGGUCACCCGGUCUUCAGGCGCGGCCCCUGUCGAGUCACCCGACAGACUCGUAGGCUGUUUCCCGACUCCCUGCUGUGCGGCUAAAUGAGUUAGACGAAUCUGUUCUCUCCUGAACUUGGCGGAGCUCCUCGGCACCCCAAGGAGGGUGGCCAGUGGUCAUCAGCACAGGCGGCUCGAGAGGCCAGGGCCGGACAGAGCAGGUGUCAAGCCUCGGAGCAGAGGACCCAGAGGGCAGGCGCAGCCACAGGCCUGGGAGCCCGGGAGCACAGAGCCCUGGACCCACACCGGAGCACGUUGCAGAAAGGAAGAGCUGGUCGGGCUGCACAGAGGCUGGGUGGGGAUGCUGACAACCAUCCCAGACUGAGCCCUGUAGCCCCGAGAGGAGGGCGUCGGUAGCCUGUGGAGCAUGGCUGGGAGGGACCCCUGGAGCUGGAGCAGACAGGUCAGGGUCACCGUGACUGUCUCCUGCCCAGGUUCUGGGACCCUGGGCCUCAGGGUCUGGGCCACCUCUCCCUGGCCGGGUGGAGCAGCUCCAUGGCAACCCAGGUCCCCACCAUCCAGGGUCUGUCUCAGCCUCGGGUGGCCGAGCCAGGCAGGGUGAGGCCGAGAGGGCAGAGGAUGGGAAGCCCAGGUACCCACUUCGGCUGCCGGCCCCACCGGCCUCCCUCAUCCCUCCCAACAAGCCACGGCCUCGGAGUGUCGAUUCUGCGCCACUAACUCAUUGAUCGCCUUGCCCGGGUUAAUUAAUUAAUUAGGGGCAGCCAUGGAGCACAGUGGGCUGGGGCCAGGGAGGGACCCCAGCGCCG
rnacentral:lncRNA from 1 species